UACGUAGGGAGCAAGCGUUGUUCGGAUUUACUGGGCGUAAAGGGCGCGUAGGCGGCGUGUCAAGUCGAUUGUGAAAUCUCCGGGCUUAACUCGGAACGGCCAAUCGAUACUGACGUGCUAGAGUGCAGAAAGGGCGAUCGGAAUUCUUGGUGUAGCGGUGAAAUGCGUAGAUAUCAAGAGGAACACCUGAGGCGAAGGCGGGUUGCUAGGCUGACACUGACGCUGAGUGCGCGAAAGCCAGGGGAGCAAACGGG
rnacentral:rRNA from 1 species